GGGAGGGGAGCAAAGGGGGAGGGGGCGGCCACCCGCACCGGAGGAAGAGGAGGAGGAAGGAGAGGAGGAGCUAGCUGCGCACUAAGGACUUGUGGAGAAGAUAAGGACGAGACCUGUACUGCGCGACCUGUGUGUUUAUCCCGGUUGGUGUUUCCAACCGGGACAAAAGCCUCAAUUUUUCCCGGUUGGAAAUACCAACUGGGACUAAAUCUUUUCUCCUGUUUGGAAUUAUCACCAGGGAUAGGGGGAGCUUUUAUCCCGGUUGGAAUUAUCAACCAGGAUAGGGGGGGAUGUCGCUGCUAGAUCUUUUCAAUAGGGACUAAAGCCCCUCCCGUCAGUGUCGUUUCGGUCCCUCAUUUUUG
rnacentral:lncRNA from 1 species